rnacentral:tRNA from 1 species
GGGCCGUUAGCUCAGUCGGUUAGAGCAGAGGACUCAUAAUCCUUUGGUCGUUGGUUCAAGUCCAACACGGCCUACCA